GACUUUUUCCAGUCCUGUGGCCACUGCUGAGUUUUGCAAACUUGCUGGCAUAUUGAGUGCAGCACUUUCACAGCAUCAUCUUUCAGGAUUUGAAAUAGCUCAACUGGAAUUCCAUCACCUCCACUAGCUUUAUUCGUAGUAAUGCUUCCUAAAGCCCACUUGACUUCACAUUCCAAGAUGUCUGGCUCUAGAUCAUCAUCAUCAUGAUUAUCUGGGUCGUGAAGAUCUUCAGUGGACUCAUAGAAUUCAGACGCUGACCAGACGGAUCAAAGAAAGGUUAUAUAAGUAAAAAUGGCAGAAACACAAGAUUAUGGGUCGUGAAGAUCUUCAGUGGACUCAUAGAAUUCAGACGCUGACCAGACGGAUCAAAGAAAGGUUAUAUAAGUAAAAAUGGCAGAAACACAAGAUUAUGUAGUAUAUCUGACUUAGCAAGAGAAUGGUUCCUGCAGCCUUGCUUGAUUCCCCACCUCUUCUAUCUCUUAGAAGCCUGGGAUUGCUCAAAAUGCUGGUGCCAUGUACAGUGCCUUGGCACAGUACAGAACCACAGGGUUUUCAAGUCUGAUAUACUGUAUUUGGAUUUGAGUUUUGGAUUUCUCAAUCAUCUUACUUACCAGGUGAAUGACUGCCAUCUCAGACACAACUUAUAUUAUUAUUGGUUACCCCAAGACUGCAACUGCCACGCUGACCAGACGGAUCAAAGAAAGGUUAUAUAAGUAAAAAUGGCAGAAACACAAGAUUAUGUAGUAUAUCUGACUUAGCAAGAGAAUGGUUCCUGCAGCCUUGCUUGAUUCCCCA
rnacentral:lncRNA from 1 species